rnacentral:lncRNA from 1 species
GUUUUCUUAUCUUGAACAUCAUGUACUGUUCCAGCCCACAGCCAGCCACCCAGGAAGGAAGCAUUUUUUUCCUUUUAGACAGAGGGUCUGGCCAGCCAUAUGGCCACGUUGUUGAAAGGCUCUGUGAACAGAAAUUGUAGGAAAUUGCAAAGCAACCUCUGAUAAUGAACAUCUUGCCAGGAAAAUGUAUCUGAUCUCUGAGGAAAGGUGUUGGAAGAGAUGGGAGACGGCAGGAGGAUUGUCUCAAACACAAGUCUGAGUUCUUUUGACAGCAAUGUCUCCCUGUUUCUGAAAUAUAGAGAAUUCGACUGAAGAAGCGAGGAAGUUUUGGAG